UCCGCCUUCAUGGAGUCGGGUUGCAGACUCCAAUCCGAACUGAGACCGGUUUUAAGGGAUCCGCUCCCCCUCACGAGGUCGCGUCCCGUUGUACCGGCCAUUGUAGCAUGCGUGAAGCCCUGGACGUAAGGGGCAUGAUGAUCUGACGUCAUCCCCACCUUCCUCCG
rnacentral:rRNA from 1 species